CCAAGCAGCACUGCUCUUCACUCAGCUAUUAGUGGUGUGGCAUGUCUUUGCAGAGUUUGUUGAGAAAGGACACAGAGGUGUGAUGGUGAUCACAGGAGAUUCUGUGACCCUGACUUGCAACAUAUCUGAGGAAAAUGCAACACAAAUCUCCUGGACCAACGGCAGAUCUGUUUUUCAACAUUCAAUUGUGCUGAAUCGCACCUUUUCAAAUUUCUCAUUUUACAAACUGAAAAUAAACCAUCAGUUACCUCCAGAGAUAACUGUUUUUAGUGCUCAAGCUGAGGAUGAAGGACUUUAUACAUGUAGCAUAACUGGCAAAGAUGGCCUACACAGCAUUACGUGGAAUUUAACUGUGUCUGAGAAGCCCAAAAAAUCCAUUUCAAAGUAUUUUCUAUCCAUACUAUCACCUGCAAUUGGAUUCAUUCUAUGUGGCAUCAUGUUGGCUGUUUUCCUCUGCAGAAAGGUAUGACGAGGACACUGAAUCAGGAUCCAGUCGAGGAUCAAUUUCCUCCUGAGUCCGAAGAGGGUACCACUGCUCAUUUGAAAAAUAACACAUGGAGGAGUCAAUAUACAGAGUUGCAGAAUUCAAUCUAUGGUCACUUCUGAGCUGACGAGACAUCCACAUAUACAGUUACACCGAGACUUGGACAUUUUUCUGUUUCAAAGCAGGAACUGCAAGGGAACACAAUCAGAGGGAGGACAACACUGCUACUGUAGCCUCUUCAGGCCAAGGGCCCACCUCUGGCUUCGAGCAUGGCAGUUUCAAUCAUUCACAUCCCUGUUUUUAGAAGAAGCGGGCAAUUAGAAGAAAGUUUGCAUUAUAGGAAGGAGGACAGGACCUUGCUGCCCACUUCUCCGCACACUGUCUUCUCCUUGCUUUGGUUUACCAACUCCUUAUCCCACCAAUGGCAGCUCUGUCAUCUCUGCUUCUCACAUACACCUCUGACUUAUUCUCCC
ensembl:lncRNA